GGGUAGGGGUAAAAUCCUGUAAUCCUGGAAGGACCACCGGUGGCGAAGGCGUCUGACUAGAACGGAUCCGACGGUGAGGGACGAAGCCCUGGGGCGCAAACGGGAUUAGAUACCCCGGUAGUCCAGGGUGUAAACGCUGCGGGCUUGGUGUUGGGGGUCCUUAGUGGGCGCCCAGUGCCGGAGAGAAGUUGUUAAGCCUGCUGCUUGGGGAGUAUGUCCGCAAGGAUGAAACUUAAAGGAAUUGGCGGGGGAGCACCGCAACGGGAGGAGCGUGCGGUUCAAUUGGAUUCAACGCCGAAAAACUCACCAGGAGCGACGGAUAUAUGAAGGUCAAGUUGAUGACUUUACCUGAUUUUCCGAGAGGUGGUGCAUGGCCGUCGUCAGUUCGUACCGUAAGGCGUUCUCUUAAGUGAGAUAACGAACGAGACCCUCACCUUUAAUUGCUAGUCUCUUCUCCGGAGGAGGCGCACAUUAAAGGGACCGCUGGCGCUAAGCCAGAGGAAGGUGAGGUCAACGGUAGGUCCGUAUGCCCCGAAUCUCCUGGGCAACACGCGCGCUACAAAGGACGGGACAAUGGGCUUCCACACCGAAAGGUGGAGAUAAUCCCGAAACCCGUCCAUAGUUCGGAUUGUGGGCUGUAACUCGCCCACAUGAAGCUGGAUUCCGUAGUAAUCGCCUGUCAACAUCAGGCGGUGAAUAUGCCCCUGCUCCUUGCACACACCGCCCGUCAAACCACCCGAGUUGGGUUUCAGUAAGGAUAUCUCUCAUUGGGGUCUUCGAACUGAGAUUCAGCAAGGAGGGUUAAGUCGUAACAAGGUAUCUGUAGGGGAACCUGCAGAUG
rnacentral:rRNA from 1 species